GGAAUCUUCCGCAAUGGACGAAAGUCUGACGGAGCAACGCCGCGUGAGUGACGAAGGCCUUCGGGUCGUAAAGCUCUGUUGUUAGGGAAGAACAAGUACCGUUCGAAUAGGGCGGUACCUUGACGGUACCUAACCAGAAAGCCACGGCUAACUACGUGCCAGCAGCCGCGGUAAUACGUAGGUGGCAAGCGUUGUCCGGAAUUAUUGGGCGUAAAGCGCGCGCAGGCGGUCUUUUAAGUCUGAUGUGAAAGCCCACGGCUCAACCGUGGAGGGUCAUUGGAAACUGAAGGACUUGAGUGCAGAAGAGGAGAGUGGAAUUCCACGUGUAGCGGUGAAAUGCGUAGAUAUGUGGAGGAACACCAGUGGCGAAGGCGGCUCUCUGGUCUGUAACUGACGCUGAGGCGCGAAAGCGUGGGGAGCAAAC
rnacentral:rRNA from 1 species